rnacentral:rRNA from 1 species
AUUGAACGCUGGCGGCAGGCCUAACACAUGCAAGUCGAGCGGAUGAAGGGAGCUUGCUUCUGGAUUCAGCGGCGGACGGGUGAGUAAUGCCUAGGAAUCUGCCUGGUAGCGGGGGAUAACGUGCGGAAACGGGCGCUAAUACCGCAUACGUCCCGAGGGAGAAAGGGGGGGAUCUUCGGACCUUACGCUAUCAGAUGAGCCUAGGUCGGAUUAGCUAGUUGGUGGGGUAAAGGCCUACCAAGGCGACGAUCCGUAACUGGUCUGAGAGGAUGAUCAGUCACACUGGAACUGAGACACGGUCCAGACUCCUACGGGAGGCAGCAGUGGGGAAUAUUGGACAAUGGGCGAAAGCCUGAUCCAGCCAUGCCGCGUGUGUGAAGAAGGUCUUCGGAUUGUAAAGCACUUUAAGUUGGGAAGAAAAGCAGUAAGUUAAUACCUUGCUGUUUUGACGUUACCAAAAGAAUAAGCACCGGCUAACUUCGUG